rnacentral:rRNA from 1 species
AUGGCGACCGAGCCGGCGUACACGCUGCCGAUAAAGUCCGGCAAGGCGGGCUUCGAGGGCUCGCAGGAUGUGCUGCACAGGGUCCGCAUCACCCUCUCCUCCACGAGCGUCAAGAACAUCGAGAAGGUGUGCUCCGAACUGGUGAAGCGCGCCAAGGAGCAGCCGCUCAGGGUCAGGGGGCCCGUCAGGAUGCCCACCAAGGUGCUCAACAUCACCACCAGGAAGACCCCCUGUGGAGAAGGUACCAACACCUGGGAUCGGUUUGAGAUGCGGGUGCACAAGAGGGUGAUCGACAUCAUCAGCUCCCCAGACAUCAUCAAGCGGAUCACCUCCAUCACCCUCGAGCCCGGCGUCGAGGUCGAGGUGACCAUCAGCCAGUAG